CUUUCCUGUGGCUCAGUUGGCCGAGCAUAGCGCUAACAACACAAACGUUGUGGGUUCAAAUUCCAGGGAAAGA